UACGGAGGGUGCAAGCGUUAUCCGGAUUCACUGGGUUAAAGGGUGCGUAGGUGGGUUGGUAAGUCAGUGGUGAAAUCCCCGAGCUUAACUUGGGAACUGCCAUUGAUACUAUCAGUCUUGAAUACCGUGGAGGUCAGCGGAAUAUGUCAUGUAGCGGUGAAAUGCUUAGAUAUGACAUAGAACACCAAUUGCGAAGGCAGCUGGCUACACGGAUAUUGACACUGAGGCACGAAAGCGUGGGGAUCAAACAGG
rnacentral:rRNA from 1 species